UACAGAGGGGGCAAGCGUUAUUCGGAUUCAUUGGGCGUAAAGGGUGCGUAGGUGGCGCCGUAAGUCGGGUGUGAAAUUUCGGAGCUUAACUCCGAAACUGCAUUCGAUACUGCGGUGCUUGAGGACUGGAGAGGAGACUGGAAUUCAUGGUGUAGCAGUGAAAUGCGUAGAGAUCAUGAGGAAGACCAGUGGCGAAGGCGGGUCUCUGGACAGUUCCUGACACUGAGACACGAAGGCCAGGGGAGCAAACGGG
rnacentral:rRNA from 1 species